rnacentral:rRNA from 1 species
UACGUAGGGGGCGAGCGUUAUCCGGAAUUAUUGGGCGUAAAGAGUGCGUAGGUGGUUUUGUAAGCGCAGGGUUUAAGGCAAUAGCUUAACUAUUGUCCGCCUUGUGAACUGUGAGACUUGAGUGCAGGAGAGGAAAGUGGAAUUCCUAGUGUAGCGGUGAAAUGCGUAGAUAUUAGGAGGAACACCAGUGGCGAAGGCGACUUUCUGGACUGUAACUGACACUGAGGCACGAAAGCGUGGGGAGCAAACAGGAUUAGAUACCCUGGUAGUCCACGCCGUAAACGAUGAGCACUAGGUGUCGGGGUCGCAAGACUUCGGUGCCGCAGUUAACGCAUUAAGUGCUCCGCCUGGGGAGUACGCACGCAAGUGUAAA